rnacentral:rRNA from 1 species
GAUGAACGCUGGCGGCGUGCCUAAUACAUGCAAGUCGAGCGAAUGGAUUGAGAGCUUGCUCUUAUGAAGUUAGCGGCGGACGGGUGAGUAACACGUGGGUAACCUGCCCAUAAGACUGGGAUAACUCCGGGAAACCGGGGCUAAUACCGGAUAACAUUUUGAACCGCAUGGUUCGAAAUUGAAAGGCGGCUUCGGCUGUCACUUAUGGAUGGACCCGCGUCGCAUUAGCUAGUUGGUGAGGUAACGGCUCACCAAGGCAACGAUGCGUAGCCGACCUGAGAGGGUGAUCGGCCACCCUGGGACUGAGACACGGCCCAGACUCCGACGGGAGGCAGCAGUAGGGAAUCUUCCGCAAUGGACGAAAGUCUGACGGAGCAACGCCGCGUGAGUGAUGAAGGCUUUCGGGUCGUAAAACUCUGUUGUUAGGGAAGAACAAGUGCUAGUUGAAUAAGCUGGCACCUUGACGGUACCUAACCAGAAAGCCACGGCUAACUACGUGCCAGCCGCCGCCGUAA